CAGCGGCGCACGGGUGAGUAACACGUGGGUAAUCUGCCCUGGAGUGGGGAAUAACACCGGGAAACCGGUGCUAAUACCGCAUACGAUCACAGAGUCUGCGGAUUUUGUGAUGAAAGGAGCAAUUCGCUCCAGGAGGAGCCCGCGGCUGAUUAGCUAGUUGGCGAGGUAAUGGCUCACCAAGGCAACGAUCAGUAUCCGGUCUGAGAGGACGGUCGGACACACUGGAACUGAGACACGGUCCAGACUCCUACGGGAGGCAGCAGUGGGGAAUUUUUGGCAAUGGGGGCAACCCUGACCAAGCAACGCCGCGUGGGUGAUGAAGUCUCUUGGGACGUAAAACCCUUUCGACGGGGACGAAACCGCAAGGUUGACGGUACCCGUAGAAGAAGCCCCGGCUAACUCCGUGCCAGCAGCCGCGGUAAUACGGGGGGGGCAAGCGUUGUUCGGAAUUACUGGGCGUAAAGGGCGCGUAGGCGGUUCGCUAAGUUGGAUGUGAAAACUCUGGGCUCAACCCAGAGCCUGCAUCCAAAACUGGCGGGCUAGAGUUCUGGAGGGGGUAGCGGAAUUCCUGGUGUAGCGGUGAAAUGCGUAGAUAUCAGGAGGAACACCGGUGGCGAAGGCGGCUACCUGGACAGAAAC
rnacentral:rRNA from 1 species